AUGGGUUUGCUCAUGGAAACUGUUAACUUGCUGCUACUUUGUGCCCUGGGUGCCAGAUGUGACAUACAGAUGACCCAGUCUCCAGCCUCCCUGUCUGCAUCUCUGGGAGACAGUGUCACGAUCACAUGCCAGCCAAGUGAAAGCAUUGGCUGGAAUUUAGCAUGGUAUCAGCAGAAACAAGGGAAUCCUCCUAAACUCCUGAUCAAAGCUGGAGAUGAACUGGCAAAUGGAGUCCCUUCCAGGUUCAGUGGCAGUAGAUCUGACUCACAGUAUUCUCUCAAGAUUAGUAGCCUGCAGCCUGAAGAUGUAGCAACUUAUUACUGUCAACAGUAUAGUAAAUUUCCUCCCACAGUGAUACAGGUCAUAACACAAACCCACAAGGAAGCAGAACUAUGUGGCAUGGCUGUACCAGCUGUUCCUCCAGGUGGGCCACCCACUGCAACUGUUUCUCAGAUAUAG